GACGAACGCUGGCGGCGUGCUUAACACAUGCAAGUCGAACGAAGGGCGAUGGAAGCUUGCUUCUAUCAAUCUUAGUGGCGAACGGGUGAGUAACGCGUAAUCAACCUGCCCUUCAGAGGGGGACAACAGUUGGAAACGACUGCUAAUACCGCAUACGAUCUAAUCUCGGCAUCGAGGAUAGAUGAAAGGUGGCCUCUACAUGUAAGCUAUCACUGAAGGAGGGGAUUGCGUCUGAUUAGCUAGUUGGAGGGGUAACGGCCCACCAAGGCGAUGAUCAGUAGCCGGUCUGAGAGGAUGAACGGCCACAUUGGGACUGAGACACGGCCCAGACUCCUACGGGAGGCAGCAGUGGGGAAUCUUCCGCAAUAGACGAAAGUCUGACGGAGCAACGCCGCGUGAGUGAUGACGGCCUUCGGGUUGUAAAGCUCUGUUAAUCGGGACGAAAGGCCUUCUUGCGAAUAGUGAGAAGGAUUGACGGUACCGGAAUAGAAAGCCACGGCUAACUACGUG
rnacentral:rRNA from 1 species